rnacentral:rRNA from 1 species
CGGUUGAUCCUGCCGGACCUGACUGCUAUCGGAUUGAUACUAAGCCAUGCGAGUCAUUGUAGUAAUACAAGGCAGACGGCUCAGUAACGCGUAGUCAACCUACCUUAUGGACGGGGAUAACCUCGGGAAACUGAUAAUAAUACCCGAUAGAACAUUAUACCUGGAAUGGUUUAUGUUUUAAAUAAUUUAUUGCCGUAAGAUGGGACUGCGGCCUAUCAGUUUGUUGGUGAGGUAAUGGCCCACCAAGACUAUUACAGGUACGGGCUCUGAGAGGAGUAGCCCGGAGAUGGGUACUGAGACACGGACCCAGGCCCUAUGGGGCGCAGCAGGCGAGAAAACUUUGCAAUGUGCGAAAGCACGACAAGAUUAAUCCGAGUGGUUUCUGCUGAAGGAACCUUUUGUCGGUCAUAGAACCACUGAUGAAUAAGGGGUGGGCAAGUUCUGGUGUCAGCCGCCGCGGUAAAACCAGCACCUCAUGUGGUCAGGAUGAUUAUUGGGCCUAAAGCAUCCGUAGCCUGCUUUGUUAGUUUUCGGCUAAAUCCAUAUGCUCAACGUAUGGGC